GAUAUGGAUCAAUUAUGUCAUCAAAUGUCCCAUUGCGGUAGCAUUGUCUGGCCCACUCUGCUAAGCUUGCAGGUUUGUUAAUAGCUGAUCGAUUCACUGGGGGUCUUGCAGAUAACACUUCACACAGUACAACCCCAAAUGAGUAGACAUCAGAUUUUUCUGUCAAUCUCUGAAGUCGGUAAUAUUCAGGAUCCAAGUAGCCGAAACUGCCUUUCACCACUGUGCUGAUGUGCGGCUUUGACAUGCUAGUAGGACCUAUUUUGGACAAUCCAAAAUCUGAAACCUUGGCAACCCAUUUCUCAUCCAACAAGAUAUUUGUUGUCUUCACAUCACGGUGAAUUAUGGUGUUCUUGGCGCCUGAAUGAAGGUACUGCAACCCGCGUGCUGCACCAAUGCAAAUCUCUAGCCGUUGAUUCCAUGAAAGUGGAGGAUUGUCGGUCUUGUAGAGGUGAUCGCGAAGGGUUCCCCGAGCCAUGUAAUCAUAAACUAGGACCAUCUCAUUUUCUUCGUAGCAAUAACCAAUUAGCGACACUAAAUGAAGAUAUCGAAGUUGGGAUAGCAUCUCAAUUUCCGUCUUGAACUCGUUUGCCCCUUGUUGCGACCCUUCAUUCAAUCUUUUGAUCGCAACGGUGGUGGCCCCAUCAUUAAUCAGCCCUUUGUACACAUUACCAAAUCCUCCGCCCCCGAUAAUGAAUACACUGUCAAAGUUGUUGCUGGCCUCUUUAAUCUCGGCCAGUGAAAAGCGGCGACAAAGAUCAGAAGGUAGAGUUGAGGCCUGGGUCUUUGCAGACUUGGUCGAAGAUACCGAAAAUGGACCCCACCAUGAAGCUGCAUCACUAGAACCCGAGUCCUUGACGUUUAGUCUUCGCCGGAAAAUCACGAACAACAGGAAAGACAGUACCACAAAGCCCGAUACAGCACCACCAACAAUGGCACCUAUUGUUGUCCGAUUAUUGUUCGAUUUUGUUGAUUUGGGACUGGGAUUUGCUGCAGUUGGUGGAUUAAUUGGAGGUAUGUCAGGAUUUGGUGCCGCAAGAUUAUCUUCAUCACUCAAUUUGAAGAUUUCAAGCCCAUUCAGAAUGGCAUCAGAGUAAACACUUAUUUCAGGCCUGGGAUGCAGUGCGAUAGAGAUAUUUUGUACCCUUUCGUUUCUCUUUGGUUCAAUCGUCACCGCAUAAUCUUUGAAGACAGGAAAGCCGUUUCCACCACUCCAUUCAAUUACAUCAGCUGCAGACUCCGCAAUUUGAGUAGCUAUGUAUAUAUAAAAAAUUCUGUCUCCCGUUUUAGUUAUUGGAGGUUGAAUUUCACAAAAGUGAAGCCUAACAAGAUAAGUGAACUUAGAAUCGACCUGAAAGUCCCAAGUGAGAUUGUAGUUUUCAUUUAUCUUCUUGUCCAUCCCCAUCGACCUCACAGUUUGAUAUACUUCAUCGGGUGCAGCGAAAUGAGUCAUGUUGUUUCGGUAUGUAAGUUGAAUGGUGUUGUUAUAAGGCACCGCACUUGGUUUUGCAAUAGUUAAAUAAUCAUCAUCACUAUUCCAGCUUCGAAACAUUCCUGCAGUGUCUUUUAGGGAUGAGAUGUAUCCGCCCCCCACAUUUAUUCUGUACAUCAGCUCCAA
rnacentral:misc_RNA from 1 species